CUCCCCCCUCCUCGAAGACUCCCAUGAGUGGUACUUAUUCAAACCUAAGUUCGGGCGGAGUGAGAUGUCACAAGAACGGGUGAUACAGUCGCUCCUUUUAUGAGCUCAGAUCGGCAAUCUCGGCCAAUAUGGCCUUCCUCCUUACACCUGAAGCAUCUCUGGAUUAAAUCCCUGUGUUGAAGAAAGAUCUUCCUACCCCGUACUUGAACGAAGUCAGGGAUCGACGUGAGGGGUUUGAUCUCAACUUGGACUCUCUUGUGGAUUUUGGAUCAAAAGCAACGUCAGAUCGUCCAAACGGAAUAGGGAAAAGGCACAUUGAAUUGCUAACUAGACUGCUCGUAACAUGCCAGGAACACCUUUUUCCAGACAUUAUGUUACCUGGGUCACUGAUUAUGCAUAAGAUUUGGAUGGAAUUAACUAAACACAACUCAAACUCAUUUUAAUUCAGUAACGAGCGAGGAAUUGAUUCAAUCGGUCUUAUAUUUGGUAGCUCAAGGUUAACCAGGCUGACUCGCAAAGCGCCCUGUGAAGUGCAGAGCUUAAAACACAUUUCGUGUAGAGUAGAAAGCCUAUUGAAAUAUUUAAAAGAACUUGGGACGAGAGAAUCAACAUCU